GACGAACCGUGCGACCGUUGUUCGGAAUCACUGGGCUUAAAGGGCGCGUAGGCGGGCCUGAAAGUCAGGGGUGAAAGCCCCCAGCUCAACUGGGGAAGUGCCUCUGAUACUGCGGGCCUCGAGGGAGGUAGGGGCGUGCGGAACUUCCGGUGGAGCGGUGAAAUGCGUAGAUAUCGGAAGGAACACCGGUGGCGAAAGCGGCGCGCUGGACCUCUUCUGACGCUGAGGCGCGAAAGCCAGGGGAGCGAACGGG
rnacentral:rRNA from 1 species